rnacentral:lncRNA from 1 species
AUGAAUACAGAACCUGUCCUGCAGCACACUGCACUCACCACAGGGCUGUUUGGGAAAUGCCAGGAAGAGCUUCGAUCUGUGGCUGGCAGCUGAACCCUUGGAGCACAAGACACACAGCACGCAUUGUCAUCCUGAUCGAGGAAGGACAUCACAAUGAGCACUUUAAAGGGCUUUAUGAAGGAAGCUGGAGGCAGUUCUCAUUAGUCUCACUGACAUCUUUUAUCACUUAUCAGAGGAACAAGCAAACGGAGAGCAAUUCCUUUGAUCAUGGCAAAAGUAGAAAGAGUAUUAAAAACCCUAUGAAGAUUCACUAAGUAGAAAGUGGAAAAGACAGUCUGUGGCAUGUUUCAAAGAGGUAACGUGGUUUAAAGUUGCCAGAUUUGCUUGUAUAUAUUAAAGAAUUGUUAAUGAUGCUACAUUUUACAUGCAUCCUAGGUUUUUUGAUUUGUUUUUUUCUUUUUAAAAGAAAACAGGCAAAGGAGUUCUUAGGUAGAAUAGAUGGGUUAGAUCAAUUAGAAAGUAUCUCUAAAAGGUGAGCUAUGUCAGAAAGGAAUUCUGUGAUUCAAUGAAAAUUGCUGAAAAUAAAAAUAAGGAGGUAACAGUGGAACA